rnacentral:rRNA from 1 species
CGCGUCAAGACCAGUUGUCACCGUCCCGAAGCAACACAAGUAAUUUAGACAAAGGUGGAGGUCGGGCCCCUUGAGGGAAACCCCUACUCUGUAAAAAGACCCUUCCGUAGGGGAACCUGCGGAAGGAUCAUUACCGAGUAAGGGUUUCCCUCACAGGAGCCCGACCUCCCAACCCUUUGUCUAAAUUACCUUGUCGUUGCUUCGGCGGACCGGUUGACCAACUGGUCUUGACCGCCGGGGGGGGCUUCCCCCCCUGGAGAGUGUCCGCCGACGGCCCAACCACAAAACUCUUGUACCAAACCAUGUCGUCUGAAUGUACUUGAUUAAGAAUCAAAAAACAAAACUUUCAACAACGGAUCUCUUGGUUCUGGCAUCGAUGAAGAACGCAGCGAAAUGCGAUAAGUAAUGCGAAUUGCAGAAUUUCCGUGAGUCAUCGAAUCUUUGAACGCACAUUGCGCCCACUGGUAUUCCGGUGGGCAUGCCUGUUCGAGCGUCAUUAUCCUCCCUCAAACCCCGGGUUUGGUGUUGGACCCAAGUUGUGCAUCUGAACAACUGGUCUCAAAGACAAUGACGGCGUCCGUGGGACCCUCGGUGCAACGAGCUUCUAGGAGCACGCGUCGAGUUUCAAGGUCCUUCCGGGCCGGUCUCCUUUUUACUUUUCACUAAGGUUGACCUCGGAUCAGGUAGGAAUACCCGCUGAACUUAAGCAUAUCAAUAAGCGGGAGGAAAA